UGCGGAAUCCAUUGCCUAUAAAUAGGAUCCGACUUGCGUUCAUCAGCUAUCAUCCAUCAUCGAACACACAAGAAAAAACAUCAAUCAAAGUGCUUACAUCUUUGAGAAAUUCUGCAGGUAUCUCUGAAGAAGAUGAGCUCAACAGCUGACAGCAAGGGGUGCAAUGCUACUCCCAAGACGGAGUGGCCUGAGCUAGUGGGAUGCACGAUCAAGGAGGCGAUGGAGAGGAUCAAGGCGGAGCGGCCGCACCUCCAUGUCGUGCCUGUCCCUGUAGGCUCCUUUGUCACCCAAGAGGUUGACCCUAAUCGCGUCCGUCUCUGGGUUGACAUCGUCGCCGAGGUUCCUAAAAUUGGCUGAAGCAUCGAAACGCCAAGCCACCAAAUAAUGGCAUUUGUAUGUGUUCCUAUGGACCAUUCAUGUGGGUUAAGUAAAUAAAAGCAUGUCUGUGAUGGACUCUUGUAUAUGGUUCGCCUGUCAUAAGUUGUGAAUUGUGAUGAUUGAGUUAUGAAUAAUACGUUGGCAACACUAUCGGA